GAGGGUGUAGCUCAGUGGUAGAGUGUGCACUUAGCAUGCACAAGGUCCUGAGUUCAAUUCCCAGUACCUCCA
rnacentral:tRNA from 1 species